rnacentral:rRNA from 1 species
ACGACACUCCUGCGGGAGGCAGCAGUGGGGAAUUUUACGCAAUGGGGGAAACCCUGACGUAGCGACACCGCGUGAGCGAAGAAGCCCUUUGGGGUGUAAAGCUCUGUCAGCUGGAACGAAAACAAUGACGGUACCAGCAGAGGAAGCAUCGGCUAACUACGUGCCAGCAGCCGCGGUAAGACGUAGGAUGCGAGCGUUGUCCGGAUUUAUUGGGCGUAAAGAGUUCGUAGGUGGUUUGUUAAGUUUGGUGUUAAAGAUCGGGGCUCAACCCUGGGACUGCACUGAAUACUGGCAGACUCGAGUGUGGUAGAGGCUAGUGGAAUUCCCAGUGUAGCGGUGAAAUGCGUAGAUAUUGGGAAGAACACCGGUGGCGUAGGCGACUAGCUGGGCCAUAACUGACGCUGAGGAACGAAAGCCAGGGGAGCGAAUGGGAUUAGAAACCCCAGUAGUCCCA